CCAAGUGUGGGUGCACUUGGGUUCAUGCAAUAAUAAGAGUCACUACAGUACUUGCAGGCAUUAUUAACAACAUUAAAUUGUCCUAUUAAAUACAACUAAAACAAACUAAAAAGAAAAAAGGGUUAAAAUUGCAAAAGAUUACACAAAAGAUAGUCCACCCUUGCCUUGCAUGUAUCCACUUUUCCUAAUUCUUGCUGACUCUAAGUGUGUGUGUGUGUGUGUGUGUGUGUGUGUGUGUCUGUGUGUGUCUGUGUGUGUGUGUGUUGCAGGUGUUCUGGGUAAAGUGUUGGGGUGUGACUUACACUCCUGAACGUGUGUGUGCUCUGAAAGGAUCAUCAGUUGAUCUCUCCUGCUCUUACAAACACCCUGAAGGACACACAGUAACUGAAUUAGCCUGGUUCAUUAAAGAGCAGGCUGGUGCUGAGCCUGUGGAUGUGAGAGAGGAUGAGGAGUAUCAGGGACGAGUGCAGAAUGACUGUAGUAUCAGAAUCAAUCAACUGAGAGAGAGAGAGAGAGAGGGGGAGAGAGAGAGAGAGAGAGAGAGAGAGAGAGAGAUGCUCAAACAUACAGACUCAGAUUCUACACUGAUGGAGGUGAAUAUACUGGAGAACCUGGCAUCACUCUGUCAGUUACAGAUCUGAAGGUUACAGUGUCAGACACAGACAGUGGAGGAAAGAAACUGAACUGUAGCAGCACCGGCACUCUGCCCAACAACCUCACUUACAUCUGGUGCAACAAAGGACAGCCUAGGAGUCCCUGCAAAUCUACCUCCUGCUCUGUAGCUGCGGUCAGUGGUGCAGUCAGCUACAGCUGUGUAGCUGCAGCAGUGAUUCAAACCCUCCUGUUCUCAUCUACUCCUGGUUUAAGCAGAGAGCAGCUGCAGACGCACCACUGACAACAGGCCAGAAUUACACCAUCACCAACAUCAGCUCCCAGCACAGUGGACUCUACUACUGCACCGCUCAGAACCAGCUAGGACAGCACAGCUCAACACCCACCCGUCUGGAUGUUAAGUAAGUACUUUAAAGUAACUGUAUCGGAGAUUAUACUCAUGUGUUCUGGGACUGUCCAAAAAUAAAGACUUUCUGGAAGGAUAUUAAAGAGGAGUUGGAGAAAAUUCUAGAAGUUCAUAUUCCCACGGACCCAUUACUGUUUUUUUCAACUUAGAAAUAUUAGUAAAGUUAGAAAUUUCCU
ensembl:lncRNA